rnacentral:rRNA from 1 species
AGCGAACGCUAGCGGCAGGCCUAACACAUGCAAGUCGAACGAACUCUUCGGAGUUAGUGGCGGACGGGUGAGUAACACGUGGAAACGUGCCUUUAGGUUCGGAAUAACUCAGGGAAACUUGUGCUAAUACCGAAUGUGCCCUUCGGGGGAAGGAUUUAUCGCCUUUAGAGCGGCCCGCGUCUGAUUAGCUAGUUGGUGAGGUAACGGCUCACCAAGGCGACGAUCAGUAGCUGGUCUGAGAGGAUGGCCAGCCACACUGGGACUGAGACACGGCCCAGACUCCUACGGGAGGCAGCAGUGGGGAAUCUUGCGCAAUGGGCGAAAGCCUGACGCAGCCAUGCCGCGUGAAUGAUGAAGGUCUUAGGAUUGUAAAAUUCUUUCACCGGGGACGAUAAUGACGGUACCCGGAGAAGAAGCCCCGGCUAACUUCGUGCCAGCAGCCGCGGUAA